UACGUAGGGUGCAAGCGUUUGUCCGGAAUUAUUGGGCGUAAAGAGCUCGUAGGCGGUCUGUCGCGUCGGAUGUGAAAAUCCAGGGCUCAACCCUGGACCUGCAUUCGAUACGGGCAGACUAGAGUUCGGUAGGGGAGACUGGAAUUCCUGGUGUAGCGGUGAAAUGCGCAGAUAUCAGGAGGAACACCGGUGGCGAAGGCGGGUCUCUGGGCCGAUACUGACGCUGAGACGCGAAAGCGUGGGGAGCGAACAGG
rnacentral:rRNA from 1 species